AUUGAACGCUGGCGGCAGGCCGAACACAUGCAAGUCGAGCGAGCGGCGGACGGGUAAGUAAUGUAUGGGGACUGCACGAUGGAGGGGGAUAACUUAAGGAAUAGGUAGCUGAUACCGCAUACGAUCGGAUAGCCAAUAUGUGAUUAGCUAGUAGGUGAGUUAAUGGCUAACCAAGGCGACGACCCCUAGCAGCGAUGAGAGCAUGACCAGCCACACCGGGACGGAGACAAGGCACAUACUCCUAGGGAGGCAGCAGUUGGGAAUAUUGCACAAUCGGCUCAAGCCUGAUGCAGCCAUGCGGCGUGGAGGAAGAUGGCCCUAGGGUGGUAAAGUACUUUCAGUCUGGAGUCGUUUCCGCCAGAAGAAGCACCGGCUAACUCGGUGCCAGCAGCUGCGGUAAUAC
rnacentral:rRNA from 1 species